rnacentral:rRNA from 1 species
GAGAGCACCCUUUGAUCCGGUGAUUUCCGAAUGGGGAAACCUGGCUGGUUGAAGACCAGUCGCAUUACGAUGCGCAAACCUGCCGAACUGAAACAUCUAAGUAAGCAGAGGAAGAGAAAAUAAUAAUGAUUUCCUAAGUAGUGGCGAGCGAACGGGAAAGAGCCCAAACCAUUUUUGUUACGGCAAAAGUGGGGUUGUAGGACUACGAUAUGG